AUUGAACGCUGGCGGCAUGCUUUACACAUGCAAGUCGAACGGCAGCACGGACUUCGGUCUGGUGGCGAGUGGCGAACGGGUGAGUAAUACAUCGGAACGUACCCAGUAAUGGGGGAUAACUAGUCGAAAGAUUAGCUAAUACCGCAUACGCCUUACGGGGGAAAGAGGGGGAUCGCAAGACCUCUUGUUAUUGGAGCGGCCGAUGGCUGAUUAGCUAGUUGGUGGGGUAAAGGCCUACCAAGGCGACGAUCAGUAGCGGGUCUUAGAGGACGAUCCGCCACACUGGAACUGGGACACGGUCCAGACUCCUACGGGAGGCAGCAGUGGGGAAUCUUGGACAAUGGGCGAAAGCCUGAUCCAGCAAUGCCGCGUGCGUGAAGAAGGCCUUCGGGUUGUAAAGCGCUUUUGUCUGGGAGCAAAUCCUUGUGGCUAAUACCCACCGGGGAUGAGAGUACCAGAAGAAUAAGGACCGGCUAACUACGUGCCAGCAGCCGCCGUAA
rnacentral:rRNA from 1 species